CACCUCUCUCCAGCAAACACCCCCUUGUUCUACCCCUCCAGCUACCACCAACUUUCCUGCACCUCCUACCCGGGCCAGGUUGUCCAGGCCAGACAGUGGCAUACUGGGUGAGGACUCCACCAGUCUGGUGCUGGAGGAUUUUGAGGAGGUGUCAGGAUCAGAAUCGUUUAUGGAUUAUAGGAGUGAUGGGGAGUACAUGAGGUGAAGGGAGAACUAACAUGGGCACAGCCACCGGCUCAGGAUCCUAUCUUCUAGAAUUCCUCUCCAGAGCUACUCUCAAGUUAUAUCCAGGGGACAGGCCCCUUUGGCUCCAACCCACACGCCUGAACUUUAAGGAUCAUUGGACUAUCUUCUCUGUGGCCAGCGCAGCUCUCUUCUGUGUUCACAGAAUGGCCACUGAUAGGCAUGCCUCUUUUCCCACCCACUGGAAGGCUCACAGGCAAGGUGAGAGAGGACACAGAAGGUGCCAACACUGUCGCUACAGUAAGGACCUGAAGUGACUUUGAGAAAUUCACCCUCACAAACCUUCCUUCAGGAGCAGGCAUUGGUAGUGCAGAGGCACAGAUUCCGUCCUUUACCAGCUGCAGAAUCUUGGGCAAGUUACAUAGCCUCUGUGAGCCUCAUCGGUAAACAGUGGGGGUUAUGAAACCCACCUCACAGGGUUGUUGUGAGGAUCCAAUGAGUUGAUUUAGGUAAGCACCUAGCACAUGCCGUGGCACCAAGUAAGCACUCAAUAAAUCACUCAACUCC
rnacentral:lncRNA from 10 species